CAGGCUUCAGUUUACCCCCCAGCAGAUUCAGGAGAUCAUUGGGAAGAUGGCGCCUCCGGUGGUAGAUCUGACCCAUUACGAUGUAUCUGGUCCCUUGGGAACAAACAUGAGGAAUGUUGGAGUGAAAAUGGGGGCUUGCUGCAUUUGUAGGUGUCCAAGACCAGAAGGCGAACUUUGAAGAAGAAGCUGUCCGGGGUCACGUAGAGACGACUCAUCUUGUAGAAGCCGUCGCUGCUCACCAUCAGUAAGGCAUCAUGUGUGAAGUCGGGCUCUGCAGAGACGACAAGCAGAGGACAGGAUAGAGGGAUGAGAAGAAAAGAGAGUGACUGUCUGCUGUGCCCCUACGGAGCCAGACUCUCAUUCCAGCGUCAUUAGAAAGGACAAGGUUGUCAUUACAAAACCUGGGCGUCGCAUUCCUCUGCAGGGGACUGGAGGAGGAGUAUGUGAUGGGAUCACAUCUCUGUGUUAUAUUUUCCAUCUAAAUUCCAUCUAAACCAUCACUGUCAUUAUAACUCUCCAAUGUAGUGUGUGAACUACUGUGUGUCAGUAUAUAUGAUGUCAUUGUAUGGCUUUUGUGGAGAGUGAUGAGAUGUGUGAAGAGAGAUGAGGGAGGAUAUGCAACAAGGGCCCCUGUCUGAAGUCGAACCUUCUUAAACCCCUAGGCCAGUGGUUCUCAAAGUGGGUUCCGGGGACCCCCAUGGGUCCUUGAGGGGGUUCCAGGGGUUUCCCAGCAAAAAGGGGAAUACUUUAUCUUCACUAUAAUUCCAUCCAUGAGUAACACAAUGAGAGAAUGCAUUCUAUCUAUUUUGGUCAUGGCCUUCAUAAACUUUCUAUAAUAAAACAUCUAAAA